UCGGACACAGGCCGCGCAGCAGACGCGACAAUUGGAGGUCCUACCGAGAUCAUGACAGCGAGGUGACACCCGCUCGAGACCCAGUAAAUAACCUGGCCUGCUGGACGGGACAGUAAAAAGGUACUGGUAUUAAGUAAA